rnacentral:rRNA from 1 species
UGGGUUGAACUACGCCGGAAAAGCCGUAGAGAUACGGUGUCCUUCGGGGCCGGCGAUAGGUGGUGCAUGGCUGUCGUCAGCUCGUGUCGUGAGAUGUUGGGUUAAGUCCCGCAACGAGCGCAACCCUUGUCCUAUGUUGCCAGCGGGUAAUGCCGGGGACUCGUAGGAGACUGCCGGGGUCAACUCGGAGGAAGGUGGGGAUGACGUCAAGUCAUCAUGCCCCUUACGCCCAGGGCUGGACACAUGCUACAAUGGCCGGUACAAAGGGCUGCUAUCCCGCGAGGGUGAGCGAAUCCCAAAAAGCCGGUCUCAGUUCGGAUUGGAGUCUGCAACUCGACUCCAUGAAGUCGGAGUCGCUAGUAAUCCCGGAUCAGCAACGCCGGGGUGAAUACGUUCCCGGGCC